rnacentral:rRNA from 1 species
UACAGAGACCUCAAGCGUUAUCCGGAUUUACUGGGCGUAAAGGGUCCGCAGGUGGUCGUGUGCGUCGAUGGUUAAAUGUCCGGGCUCAACUCGGACGCCGCCUUCGAUACGACACGACUCGAGGCCGGAAGAGGUGAGCGGAAUUACCGGUGUAGUAGUAAUAUGCGUUAAUAUCGGUAAGAACACCAAAAGCGUAGGCAGCUCACUGGGACGCGCCUGACACUCAGGGACGAAAGCGUGGGGAGCGAAAGGG